rnacentral:lncRNA from 1 species
AUGUCGAGAUACUGAUGCCGAGGCUUGAGAAAAUACUUAGCGCGUAUCGCAACUCAUUUAGGCUCGUAUCGACCAUAUUGCCUUCCGAAAGCAGUAACUUUAAACACACGACUCCAAUUGCUCUGAGACCAGUUCCAUAGUCAAGAUGACUCAAUAAGCUCGAACUUUGGUGAAGAAACCCUCGGAGCUUGUGAUAUAAUCUUGGAUAGCAUCAAUAACGAGUGGGAACCAGAUGGAAAACCGCAAGGAGCUAAGGAGCUAAGGAGUAAAGACAAGGUUCAGGAAAUGGAACAAGAAGACACUUUGCUCAUUACAAACGGUCCUAUAACCCGAGCAAAGGCUAAGAGGCUCAAGGAAGCUGUUGGGGAAAUACUUAAGCAUGGAACGCUUGUGGAACAGAAGGGAAAAGAGAUGGGCACAACUACACUAGUUGUGAUCCAAGUCCGAGAAGACUAAUGGGCUUGUGAUCCAACUAUGUACUCUUUUUCCCUAUCUCAAGUUUUGUCCCAAUGGGUUUUCUUGAGAUAGGUUUUUAAUGAGGCAUAGUUUGGAUCACCUCACAUCUAAGCCCAUCAGCCGAGUCCAAAGCAGAAGAAGAGGAGCGUGUAAAGAAGAGUUCGAAUUCAAACUUGGCCAGCUUUCAAAGAACUAGUUCCUAGACACUUUAAUGCUUUGUAGACUCACAUGUGUUUCUCUUUAUAUUCACUUGUAAACUCUCUUUUGAGACUAUCUUAUCUUUUAAUCAAAAUCUUUUCUUAGUAAGAUCAAUUUUCUUGUUGGUGUGUAAUAUCCUUCAAGGCCUUUCGAUUCAUCUCUGGUGUGUAAUAUCCUUAGUUGAUUCGGAAACCAUUCAUCAAGGGUCUUCCGCAACCCUUGGCGUCUUAUCUAAACCCACAAACCUUGAUACAAUUCGCUUGUGUGCAAGGCUAUCCCCUUUGAUCCAGUUUAGUGAGUGUCGAUUUCAGGGAGAAUCAUAUUAAGUGGUAUCAGAGCAAGCACUCAAACCGCUGGAUCGUCGAAAACAUCAGGUUGUAUCUUUCCUUGUUGUUUCUCGAUUGUUUUUGAGUUUACAAGUUUGAUCAUCAUCACCGUUUAAUCGAAUCUGUUACUUGUGUUCUACUGCAUCAAACUAACCUAGAUUUAUUAAGCAGGAUCGAAUAUCUGAGAUCUAGUUGCUAUCAAAACGGAUAGAUCUAAGUGCCUUUUUAACUUCUAGGCUCGAAUCCGUUUUUUGCAUAUCUGACUUUUCGAAUUCAAUCUAUCGAUCAUGAUUUCUUGUAGAACACGAAUAGUCACUUUUGUUUUGUAAAACGAUCAGAGAAUUGUUGCUAGUGAUUUCGUGUUAUCCUUGUUUCAGGAACAAUGAGUGAUCAACAAGAAGAGUCCAGUGCUAAUGGUGUUAACAAAUUAUACAUGGAGGCAAUGUUAGCCGAAGUUAAGAAGCUUGUGACCGUGAGCCUCGAGGAGUUUCGACAGGAGAUUCAAGAGCAGACCAAACCAAAGGCUAGCAAAGAUAAGAGAAGAGAUCUAGGGAAAGAACCUGAGGAAGUUUUGGAGCCGACUAGACCUCUCAGAGAUGAUGCGGCCACAGAUUAUUACGGUCUUCUUAGUAGUUCCUCAAGAGACAGUCGAAGAAGGCAUAGGCGACACAAGGAAGAACGAGUUCAAGAGGGUUUUGGAGGAGUUAAACUCAGGAUCCCUCCUUUUCACGGCAAAAACGACCCUGAUGCCUACUUAGAGUGGGAAAAGAAGAUCGAAUUGUUGUUCAAUUGCCAACAAUUCGCCGGGAUUAAUCGAGUGAAGAUAGCCACUACCGAGUUCUACGAUUAUGCUCUUUGUUGGUGGGAUCAGGUUGUUACGACUAGAAGAAGAAAUCAGCAAUUUCCUAUUGAUACUUGGGAGGACAUGAAAUCUCUCAUGAGAAAAAGGUUUGUGCCAAGUCACUACCAUAGAGAAUUGCACCAAAGACUUAGACGGCUCACACAAGGCAACCGAUCUGUUGAAGAUUACUAUCAAGACAUGAAGACCUUGAUGCUACGAGCUGAUAUUCGAGAAGAUGCUGAAGCCACUAUGUCUCGUUUCUUAGGAGGAUUGAACAGAGAGAUUCAAGACAAGCUUGACAUGCAGCAAUAUGAGGAAUUAGAAGAUAUGUUGCAUAAGGCCAUCCUCAUAGAACAACAGCUCAAGAGGAGAAACACCAAAACCGUUUAUGGAGCUGGAGGAAUGCCUACUAAACCAAGAUAUUCUAGAGAGGAGAAGCCGAGUUCAGUAUCAAAAGAAGAGAAGCCAGCCGGUGUCUCUAAAGAAGAACCUAAGUCAUUCACUUCGGUAUCAGAUAACCGAAACAAAGCUAUGGGGCCAACAAGAACCAGAGACGUUAAGUGUUUCAAGUGUCUUGGAAGAGGGCAUUACGCAAACGAGUGUUCGAAUAAGAAGAUCAUGAUACUCAAAGACGAUGGCGAAUGGGAAUCAACAGCUGAGUCUGAAGCCGAAUCUCAUUCUGAACAUGAAGAGCUUCCUGCUCAUGGCUCCUUACUUGUAUCAAGAAGGUCUCUAAGCGUGCAAGCCAAAGCUAUAGAAGAGGAGCAGAGAGAGAAUUUGUUUCAUAGCCGGUGCCUUGUACAAGGAAAAGUUUGUAGUCUCAUCAUAGAUGGCGGUAGCUGCACCAACGUAGCCAGUCAAGAGAUGGUUCAAAAGCUCAACCUAGCCACCGAGAAGCACCCCCGACCCUACAUGCUCAACUGGUUGAAUAAUGAUGGGGAAUUAAAGGUCAACAGCCGUGUCAUGGUCCCUAUUAGUAUUGGAGGAUAUGAAGACGAGAUACAGUGUGAUGUGUUGCCCAUGGACGCAUGACACAUACUUCUAGGCCGGCCAUGGCAAUCGGAUCGAAAGGUUAUUCAUGAUGGGUUUACUAACAAGUAUUCCUUUAUUUUUAAAGGCAGGAAGACAACCCUCAUACCUUUGACGCCACAAGAAGUCUACCAGGAUCAAAUGCAGCUAAAGCAAAAGACAAAGCCGCCUACUAAAGCAUCUAACUUCUACUUGAGGGCUGGUGAUGUCAAAAGAUCUCUUAGUUCUAACCAACCGGUUCUUUUAUUUGUGUUUAAGGAGGCUCUCACCAAUAUGACUAACCUCACACCGGUUUUGCCGAGUAAAAUUCAAACUCUUUUGCAGGAAUACAAUGAUGUCUUCCCUGAAGAUAAUCCUAAAGAGUUACCUCCUUUUAGAGGCAUUGAACAUCAGACUGAUUUCAUGCCUGGUGCUUCAUUACCUAAUCGCCCUGCUUAUAGAACCAAUCCGGUUAAGACAAAGGAGUUACAAAGACAAGUCGAUGAACUAAUGGAGAAAGGACAGCAAAAGCUUAAUAAGAGACACGCGAGGUGGAUUGAGUUCAUUGAGACAUUUCCCUAUGUCAUCAAAUACAAGAAAGGUUAGGACAAUGUAGUUGCCGAUGCAUUGUCUCGAAGGUACACUCUACUCUCUACUCUUGAUGCUAAGCUUCUUGGUUUUGAACAACUUAAACUUCUGUACUCAUCUGAUUCGGAUUUUCAAACUAUUUAUGAGUCUUGUGCUACGUUUGCUUCGGGUUAUUAUCAUAGACAAGAGGGAUUUAUUUUCUUUCAUAAUCGUUUGUGUAUCCCUAAUUGUUCUAUUCGAGACUUGUUAGUCAGGGAAGCUCAUGGAGGAGGACUCAUGGGACAUUUUGGUAUAGCCAAAACCUUGAAAGUAUUACAAGAUCAUUUUCACUGGCCUCACAUGAAGAGGGACGUUGAGCGAGUUUGUUCAAGAUGUGCGACCUGUAAGCAAGCUAAAGCUAAGGUUCAGUCCAACGGUUUGUAUACACCUUUACCUAUUCCUUAUCAUCCUUGGACUGAUAUAUCAAUGGAUUUCAUGCUUGGAUUGCCUAGAACUAGGACUGGAAAGGAUUCGAUCUUUGUUGUAGUUGAUAUGUUCUCUAAAAUGGCGCAUUUUAUUGCAUGUAACAAGACUGAUGAUGCAUCGCAUGUAGCUAAUCUGUUCUUUAGGGACAUUGUUCGAAUACAUGGCAUGCCUAGGACCAUAGUAUCUGAUCGAGAUACCAAAUUCUUAAGCUACUUUUGGAAAACUUUAUGGUCUAAGCUAGGUACAAAGCUCUUGUUUUCCACUACUUGUCACCCACAGACUGAUGGACAAACUGAAGUAGUGAAUAGAACAUUGUCUACAUUGUUGCGAGCAUUGAUUAAAAAGAAUCUUAAGGCAUGGGAAGACUGUUUGCCUCAUGUAGAAUUCACAUAUAACCAUUCAGUGCAUUCAACUACUAAAUUCUCGCCUUUUGAAAUUGUUUAUGGCUUUAAUCCUUUGUCGCCUUUGGAUCUAACCUCUCUUCCUUUGAGUGAAAGAACUAGCCUAGAUGGAAAGAAAAGAGCAGAGCUUGUUAAACAGAUCCACGAGAAAGCCAGAGCUAACAUAGAGGAGAAAACAAAGCAAUAUGUCAAGCACGCUAACAGAAGCCGACGCAAGCUUACCUUUGAAGUGGGACAUCUCGUUUGGGUGCACCUAAGGAAGGAGAGAUUUCCAGCAGAAAGGAGAGAUUUCCAGCAGAAAGGAAGUCUAAGCUGAUGCCGAGAGUGGAUGGACCCUUUGAGAUAGUUAGAAAGAUCAAUGAUAACGCUUAUCAACUUGAUCUACAAGGUAAGUACAAGAUAAGUUCUUCUUUCAAUAUUUCUGACUUGAUUCCUUAUUUUGCAGAUGAUCCAGAUUUGAGGACAAAUCAUUUUCAAGAAGAGGGGGAUGAUAUGAUCUUGGAUAGCAUCAAUAACGAGUGGGAACCAGAUGGAAAACCGCAAGGAGCUAAGGAGCUAAGGAGUAAAGACAAGGUUCAGGAAAUGGAACAAGAAGACCCUUUGCUCAUUACAAAAGGUCCCAUGACCCGAGCAAAAGCUAAGAGGCUCAAGGAAGCUGUUGGGGAAAUACUUAAGCAUGGAACGCUUGUGGAACAGAAGGGAAAAGAGAUGGGCACAACUACACUAGUUGUGAUCCAAGUCCGAGAAGACUAAUGGGCUUGUGAUCCAACUAUGUACUCUUUUUCCCUAUCUCAAGUUUUGUCCCAAUGGGUUUUCUUGAGAUAGGUUUUUAAUGAGGCAUAGUUUGGAUCACCUCACAUCUAAGCACAUCAGCCGAGUCCAAAGCAGAAGAAGAGGAGCGUGUAAAGAAGAGUUCGAAUUCAAACUUGGCCAGCUUUCAAAGAACUAAUUCCUAGACACUUUAAUGCUUUGUAGACUCACAUGUGUUUCUCUUUAUAUUCACUUGUAAACUCUCUUUUGAGACUAUCUUAUCUUUUAAUCAAAAUCUUUUCUUAGUAAGAUCAAUUUUCUUGUUGGUGUGUAAUAUCCUUCAAGGCCUUUCGAUUCAUCUCUGGUGUGUAAUAUCCUUAGUUGAUUCGGAAACCAUUCAUCAAGGGUCUUCCGCAACCCUUGGCGUCUUAUCUAAACCCACAAAUCUUGAUACAAUUCGCUUGUGUGCAAGGCUAUCCCCUUUGAUCCAGUUUAGUGAGUGUCGAUUUCAGGGAGAAUCAUAUUAGCUUGGGAAGGGGAAGGCUUCCUGGAUUUCACAUCUUUGCGUCGCAUUGGAAUCACCGGAAAAUAAGCUUUUGGACCGAUGUGAACUCCGGAGACUUUAUUUUCCAAACCACUGUUCCGAAUAGAGCAAUUCCAACUGUUCUGAGAAAGUUUUUCACAGAUCUCAAACUUUGUUGAAGACCGAGCAGGCUUGUUCGGACCGGAAAGGCUCCGUCCUUCGUGAUCUUUGAAGUCUGCUGUUCGGUUCUCGAGUACGCGCAGUACUGGUGCAUUUUCCGGAAGCCGUAUCUUUCUCCUCACUGGUCCGAAUUGGAUGAUUCCAACUGUUCCGGGAUCUUUGCUUGAUUAUCUCCAACUUUGAUAAAGACCUCGCCAACUGAUUCGGACCAGAAGGUUCCCCGGAUUGCUGAUCUUUGAAACGCGCGGGCAAGGAUAGGUUUUAGCCGAGAAAAGCUUCCCGCGGUAAGGAAAAUGACCGAGGGCUAUGUACCGCGGUAAGCUUUUUAGCCGUAAAAUUCCUCUCGCCUCGGCCAAAAACUUAACCCGAGGUAAUUUGCACCCGAUACUCGACCUUGGUCGAUUUUGGUCGAUCGGUAAGGGUUUUGGUCGAUAAUGAGCGUUCGGUAAGCUUUUUGACCGAGGUUUCUGUCCAGCCGGUACGAGUUUUGGCCGAGAAAUUCCUCCAAGCGGUUUUCACCAUUUUUGACCCUUUUCUUCACCGUUUUCUUUUCUGCUCCUCUUCUUAAGCUCCAAAUGGCUCCCAAAGCACCUGAUAAAGACUUCAAAACAUGCAAAACUCUUUGGGACCUAAUGCAAGCCCUAAAUCCUUUUGAUGCCUAAAGACUCAAUUUACAUGGGAAAACACAUGAUGAGGACUCUAAAAUGCAACCUAAAUGAUGCAAAAUAUAGACAUAUCAACUCCCCCACACUUGUCCUUUGCUUGUCCUCAAGCGAAAAGAACAAAUGAGAGAGAGAGGUUGUAGUGCAGAUGGAGCUCAUAUUUCCUUUUUAGAGAGAAGUGAUCACAAUAAGAACUCGGAUUCAUGCUCAAAUAUGCAAUGCAAAGCUAUACUCAGAUAUUUUCCAACUAAAGCACGGAAUCUCCACAAGUCAUCAUCACAUUCAACUCUUUCAAAUUCAUUAAGUUCGUAACCGGUGAAUCAAAUGAUGCAAUGUUCAAAUAGGCUGGCAUGGCUAGGCUAAGGUCAUGAGAUAAAAAUGAUCUCAUCAAUAUUCAAGCGGGAGCAAUGCAGCAAAGGGAUCUCUCUAUGAACGACCAAACUUUGGCAGAAUGCUAAAGGUAAAAAGCAACCUAUGCAUACAAGGGCAAGACUCAUCACACCCCACACUCCACUCAAAGCUUUCUCACUUGCUCACCCUCUCAAGAUCCUCACUCUUCUCAAUCGUUUUCUGUUCACUAGGGGGCUCACUUUCUGCUUUCAUUCUCAAGUCUUGGAGUUCAUUUAUUCGCAUAGCUCUUCCCUUUCACAUCGUAUAGUCUCUUUUCUUUUCAUUUUAGAACACUUGAGCCUUUUUGGCUUCUUUUCAUCUCAGAGACUAAAUUUUUCUUUUAAAAACAUCAGAGCUCAUCUUUUCAAAUCCAAGACUCAGUUCUUUUUCUUUCAUCCCCCUAGCUAUUUCCACUUCCUCUUUUCCACUCAACUCACCUUUUUCCACUCACUAACAAGUCUUUUCCCCCACACUUAUUCCUCGCCAAUACUCUCAGUUCCUUGAUGUUGGAACAUAGCACUCAAUGAGACAUGCCCUUGUCGCUCUAAACCUAACACUUUCUGCUAAGUUUGGUCCAAGGUGGCCUUACAAUUCACACACAAACAUUGGCUUGAAAGAAAGAUGGGUUCAAGGUGAGGGAACUGAUCCAUGAUGCGGAUUCAGCUACUUGAGCUAAGGAAGGAGGGUGGUAAAAACAACGAUUCUAGCUCAAGUAUGUAUAUUGGUAUCCACAAGCCCAUUCAAGCAAUGCAUCAAAAAAUAUUUUCAAUUCAAGUUCAGGGUUAUCACUUAGUUAGAGUUGAGUGUAAUUCAAACUUGCUUCUCAGAUUCAAAUCGUUUCAAGCUUUACAAGCACAGAAUGAGUUCACAAGCAUAUUUAGUUCAAGUUCUCAAGUGAUUUACUCUCUAGGAAAAAAUCUAUCAUUGCUCCUUGCACUGAUGCAAUCCUACAUGAUGCAACUAGACUCGAUCUUAGAAUGCAAGAUGCAACUAGAAUGAUGCAUUUUUUUUUGUGAAAUUUUUCAAUUUAUCAUAUGUACUAAGCUAGAUGAGACUCAAGAAUGCAAAAGUCAAAUAAGAACAAAGAAAACAAGAUCAGAAAACACAAAGCUCCUCCCCCACACUUAAAUAACACAAUCCCUUGUGUUAUAAAAGCGUGUGAGAGAAGUAAAAAGACAAACUAAACAAAUGCAAGAUGGUAUAUACAAGAUGCAUAUUUACAAAGGUUUGAAGUCGAUACCUCAGUCUGAGAGGUCUGAUCCCAAGUAGUACGAGGGAUUUGACGUUGAGCAGGAGGGUGUGGACUGACGUGGUGGGCUGCUCUCCGAGGGUUCCGGUAAGAAAGCUGUGGCAGGAUCGAUCCAGUCCUCUUUUCCUGGUGGAAACUCCGGGUUCCUCGCGUUUGAGCUUUCUCCAACCUCUUCUUUGUAACUUGUGCGGUUGAGGUUGUCGAGUUCUUGUCAGGUGAGUAUGGCCUGGCGAGUUGCUUGACUUUCUUUUUCAGGUGCCUUACACAGUCCACCAACGCAUGAAUGGUCUUGUCUUGCCACUUACACCAUUUUUGGAGGGUGUUCACUCGCGAAUACAGCUUCUUGGUGUGGUAUUCAGGCUCACCCCACACGUAUUGAUCAAAAUGAUAUCGGCCUGCCCAGUCCUUCUCUCAGCGUGACUUUGUUCCUCAUUCUCACAUCCGGCCGGGCCAUUCUUGUUCCGAGGCUUGCUAGACGCGGCUUUGGUGCACUUGCGCAUGGGUGGGUCGAGAGAUUGGUUGUACAACUGAUCUUUGAGGACAUAGAAGGAGACGUUACACUGCUUAUCAAGUAUGGUGAGGCCUCGGUUAGGCAGUAGAACCUGUGUGCCGUCUCUGUGCAUCAGUGUGAAGUUGUAAACCCAUCUGUCUCGUGACUUGCCUCUGAAGAAUCCACUAUUACUUAGGUAUUGCUCAUCAAUGAUAUUCGGCCUUGAUGGUGAAUCAGGGAAUAUGAACCCCUGAGCUCUCAAAAUCUUAGUGACAAUCCAACCGUUCUGAAGCCUCCUUGCUCCUUUCUUCUUUCGGUCGCACCAGACAUUGUGCCUGUAAGUAAGCAUUUGAAUCGCAAAGAACGCGCCUAAAGAGGGUACAUGCAUUGGUCCUUGGAACUCCUUCUUGUUCUUCAUUUGAGUGAUGAGCGGCUUCAGUCCAAGUCCUAACAGUUCAAGCUCGGCCGUGUGAAUAACACCAGGGUUAUCGGUCAAGAAGAAUGUAGAGGCUAAAACUCGGUUGGUGUAUCGGAUCGCAGGGUUUCUGAUGCAACUCGUCUUGCUCUUGCCUCCCAGGUAAGGUCCAAAAGCGAUUGUUUCCCACAAGGCAGCCAACUCUUCUUUUGGGUACACAAACUUGUCAAGCGAGCUUCCGUUCUUUUCAAAUCCAAAUAUCUCAUCAAGCUCCUUGAAACUGACCUUGUAGUGCACGUUUUCCAUGUCAAACUCAAUGUGGCCGAACCCUUUUCCAUGUAAGCGAUUGGGAUCUCUCUUGGGGUAGAUGACAACCUCCAAAGUGGCAAGAAACUGUUGUGUGAAUCCCUCAUAGGCAACAUCACUCAUCUCAAAGAACUCGGCCAAACCCAUGUUUUGAAAGAUGAGGGUAACAUCUUCUAGUAUCUCAAGCCCCCUCAAAAGCUCCUUAUCAGGAAACCGACCUUGAGCCACUCUUAUAGAGUUAAAGUGGUCCAAGUACUCCUCAGUAGUUGGGAAAUGCUCUUCCUCGGGCUCGGGCUUCGGUUCCUUCUUGGCCUUCUUGCCACUUUCUUCUUUGUGAGGGACUAGGGCUCUGAGCUCGUCGUCAUCAGAUCCAACGACUGCCUGCUUCCCAUUCUUCCUUGAUUCAAGAGCCGGUGCCGGAGUGAGAUCGGCGUUCCUUGCUCGUUUAGCGGCUGGCUCACCACGGCCACGGCUUUCCCUUUUGUACCUCCCCUCUGGACCUCGCUUUUGUUCAUCUCAUGAGCAGGAACAGUUUGUUUGCCGGUCAUCUGCAAAGGAGAUUCUCACGGAAACCGUUAGAAUCAAGUAUAUCAAUAAGCACAAGAUAGCAAAACAAAGCUUUUCUUCUAACAAGACUGGUUUUAUAGCUUCCUCAAACAUCAAAGAGAGUAUCAACAAGCUAGAACAACUGGAAAGAGUCAAAAUAUCUAGACAGUUCAGCUCAAUAUCUCAGUUCACAUUUAAAGCCGAUUCCAAGCGCAUUUUCUCAAGAAUUUUAAAAACUCAAGAACAAGUGAUUUUCAGAGCAAAGACCAGUUUUUCAUGUGUUGUCUAUCGUGAUGGAAUUUUUAAUAUUGUUCCCAAAGGCCGAUACGUUCUAAAAGAAUCGAUUCCACAUUUUACAAACAUUAAAGCUCGCAAAUAAUGAAGGAAAAAGAUGAGUUCUUUGAGAUGCAAAUACCUUUGGGAAUUCAAGGUUUAAGCUUAGUGAGAUGCUUAUGCAGAAUAGACAACACCCUAACGAGUCUAGAGCACUUGGAAUCGCGUGAAAUGAAUGAGAGAUGAGAGAGAUGUGUUCGCGAAAUGCAGAGAAAAGAGUGAAGAAGGCAAACUCUGCGUUUUAGCUCAGUAUGGAGGCUGGUAUGGGCUGGAGCGCGCUUUCCAGCUGGCAUUUGGACUGUUGUGGGACUGGUCCCCCCCUCUGCUCCAGCUCCAACCAUUGACCGCGCCAAAAAUAUCUUUGACCGAGCAUUCAAAUUUGAAUUACCGCGCAAAGCCUUCAAAUGGAUGCGGUAUGGGAAUGACGUGGGCCGUACGGUCUGGAGUGCUUUUUCUUGUGUUAACAUGAGCGGCCUCGGCUUGUUCCACCACGAGGGCACCAAACCGAGCGAUUUGAGUAACUCUCUGUGGCCUCCAAGUCGCUUCCAUAGACCGCGCAAAGCCUCUUUUUCGAUCUAAGUGUUCCAAGUGUUCUUGUUUUUAAUCGUUCUUGAAACCGGGCACCUCGGCACUCUCCACCACGAGGGUAUAAUGCCGAGGUCACUUAUUUUAACAAAGAACACUUGGUGCUUGGGGGUUUAAACGGGCUGGCCUUGGUGUAAACUGGUCGCGGCCUCGGAUCGAGGUUUUUGACCGUUUUAAGUGAGCAUCGGUCCUCGGUAUGAUUAUACCGAGGUGUUUACACCGUGAGCCUCCCCCACACUUAGCCAUUUCACCACUUUACUUCAUAUACACGGCCAUGAUGAAAAUAAGUCGAGGAGUUUAGCUGAGGUUUUCAAGCUUAUACUCGGUAAAAGGUGACCGCGGUAUGAAUAUACCGAGGGUCGAUACCGAGGCUAUGAAUACUAUCCGACUUAAAUCGUCAGGCCGUGUAUUUUUCAAGCUUUUCUCUCAAGGCUCACUGUCUAACUCCUGAAACACUUAACAAACCCUUCAAAAAGCUUCAAAUAAAAAGAAAAAGAAGAUGAAAAACGAAAUAUGUACAAGGAUAAGCUUGGGGUGUCUCCCAAGAGCACUUUGUUUAACGUCUCUAAGUUUGACUUUUCAUACCUUUUCAGGCUGAUUCCGGUUCAAGAAGAGGAACUGAGGUAGCUCCCUCUCUUGUUUCUGAUGCCAAGUAAUGCUUUACUCUCUGACCGUUUACCACAAAGCCUUGUCCAUCUUUUCCUUUUAACCCGACGGCUCCAUAAGGCCUUACUUCAAGAAUUGUGAAUGGACCGGACCACCUAGACCUCAGCUUCCCAGGGAACAGCUUAAGUCUCGAGUUGAACAACAGAACUUGGUCCCCUUCUUUGAACUCUCCCUUGUGUAUCUUCUUGUCAACAGAUCUCGUGAAGAACACGUCAAGAACAUGCAUGAACCCUAGUCUUUGAUCCAUCUUCUCGUGUGUGUUCUUGAGCCGUCUUGUUCUCGAUUCUGGAGUUGUGAAAAGGGGCCUUGCCAUAAAAUUUCACGGGGCUUGGUAGUCGAGAGGUUCGGGAGAACAGAGUCCGGCAUGCACGCCGAGGCCAUUACACCGAGGUGCACGUUCAACACUUAGUCGUUUCCAGCUUCAUUUCUUACGUGUGCAUGCCUUGAUCUCAUCAUGCCGAGGUGUCAGCACGAGGUCUAGUCCAAAAUACUCCCAAGAUAUGAGCCUUGACUUGAGCAAUGUCGGGAUACUGAUGCCGAGGCUUGAGAAAAUACUUAGCGCGUAUCGCAACUCAUUUAGGCUCGUAUCGACCAUAUUGCCUUCCGGAAGCAGUAACUUUCAACACACGACUCCAAUUGCUCUGAGACCAGUUCCAUAGUCAAGAUGACUCAAUAAGCUCGAACUUUGGUGAAGAAACCGUCGGAGCUUGGGAAGUGGAAGGCUUCCUGGAUUUCACAUCUUUGCGCCGCAUUAGAAUCACCGGAAAAUAAGCUUUUGGACCGAUGUGAACUCCGGAGACUUUAUCUUCCAAACCACUGUUCCGAAUAGAGUGAUUCCAACUGUUCUGAGAAGGUCUUUCACAGAUAGCAAACUUUGAUGAAGACCUGGCAGGCUAGUUCGGACUGGAAAGGCUCCUUCCAUCGUGAUCUUUGAAGUCCGCUGUUCGGUUCUCGAGUACGCGCAGUACUGGUGCAUUUUCCAGAAGCCGUAUCUUUCUCCUCACUGGUCCGAAUUGGAUGAUUUCAACUGUUCCGGGAUCUUUGCUUGAUUAUCUCCAACUUUUAUAAAGACCCCGCCAACUGAUUCGGACCGGAAGGUUCUCCGGAUUGCUGAUCUUUGAAACGCGCGGGCAAGGAUAGGUUUUAGCCGAGAAAAGCUUCCCGCGGUAAGGAAAAUGACCGAGGGCUAUGUACUGCGGUAAGCUUUUUAGCCGUAAAAUUCCUCUUGCCUCGGCCAAAAACUUAACCCGAGGUAAUUUGCACCCGAUACUCGACCUUGGUCGAUUUUGGUCGAUCGGUAAGGGUUUUGGUCGAUAAUGAGCGUUCGGUAAGCUUUUUGACCGAGGUUUCUAUCCAGCCGGUACGAGUUUUGGCCGAGAAAUUCCUCCAAGCGAUUUUCACCGUUUUCUUUUCUGCUCCUCUUCUUAAGCUCCAAAUGGCUCCCAAAGCACCUGAUAAAGACUUCAAAACAUGCAAAACUCUUUGGGACCUAAUGCAAGCCCUAAAUCCUAUUUUGAUGCCUAAAGACUCAAUUUACAUUGGAAAACACAUGAUGAGGACUCUAAAAUGCAACCUAAAUGAUGCAAAAUAUAGAUAUAUCAAACCCUCAACACGACAGCACAUAUCACCCCUCCAUAAAUAUGAACAAGGAGGAAGCUUAACUUUCCACUCCAUAAAUAUAGACAAAGGGGAGGCUUAACCUUCCACUCCAUAAAUAUAAAAGGAAGAGACUUACCUUCCACUCCAUAAUUAUUAUUUGAGGAGACAAAGUCUACCAUAUAAUAAUUUUUUUUUUCAGAGAAGGCAUAGUGUAACACCCGUAUUUGGGAAAAUCUUACCAAGUAGGAAGAUUGGUUACUGGAAUUAGAUUUAUGUAGAGCCGAAAUGGGAAAAAUCCGGGAAGGUUAACUGAGGAAAGUCGGAAAAUGGAUUUAGUCAGAGAAAACUGGGUUUAGUCGGUGAUGCCGAGCUAAGUCCAACAUUCGCCUAGCCAAAUCAAGCUUUGUCCGAGCUAAAAUCAGCUGCCGGGAUUUUUGGAAAGUUUAGCUGGAUAUUCUGACAAGCCGAGUUUUUUAAAUUUGGUUGGAAUUCAGAUAAGACAGCCUUUGUCGGCUUCGGGUUUGCGCAGGAGCGGUUAUCGGGUAAGCGCUUUCGGGAAAAAGUGCUGGAACGGUUAUUGGAUUUGGUCGAGCAAGCGCUAGCGUGGAAACAGUUAUUGUCGGGUAAAAUAUACGCGUGAGCGGUUUUUAGCCAAGAGGGAGUUCAUAUUGGCGCGAGAACGAUUUCUGGGCGAUUUUCUGCAGAAAAACAAGUGAGCGCCUAUAUAUUAAAGGGUUCUGGCUCAUUUUCUCUUCUUCGAGCGAUCAAAAACCUCAGAAAGAUUGAGAGAAACAGUUUUAAGAGAAGUCAGUCAAGAGAAAUUAUCUGUAGCCGAGAGAUAUCCGAUUCAAGCCGAGAGCGACUACAAUUUUGUCGAGUGUAGUCUGGAUUCAGCCGAGCCAUCGUGGGAACAAGUUAGAAAGAUCGUGCUACACAUAGCCUAUCUUUCUGAAAAAAAUAAUACAUAAAUAGAGAAGGCAUAAUCGAUAACAACAAAAAAAUUAAAAACAAGCCUAUCAUAGAUUUUGAGGAGAUGGAGCCUACCAUUCCGUUCAUAAUAUAGAAACUUAAAAAGAUAACAUGAAUGUAACUAUUACCUUCAAAUUGAUGAAUGAACGAACAGUAACAGAGAGAUGAUCGUGUUUUCCGUAUACGAACGAGCAAGGAGACGAUCAUGCUGAAAACGUGUUGUGAAAAACAACUUUGGGAAGGCGUUCGUAUAUAUGUAAACACUAGAGAAGAGAGACUUAGAAAGAGAGUUAGAGAAUGAAGAAAAAAACUAUCAAGAUAUUUUCUUAUUUCUCUCACUAGAUUGUCAAUCUUUUACAAAGCCAAGCUCACAUAUAUAUAGCAAAGAAGGUUGGAGAUAAAGUUUUAUAAACUUGGGGACAAAGUAGUCCAUGGGAGAUGAAUCUCUAGGGAGAUGAAUAUUUAAUAGCUAAGAAGUUUGGGGAGAAAACUAUUCCCAAAUGUAUAAUCAAUAUAUUUUAUAACAUAAAGAGUGUUUUCCUCUUGAAGCUUUUAUGCUUUGUUUUGCUUGUCUAUUUUAAUUGUUUUCCUCUUAAAAUCAAGUGUAUAUCAUUAGAAUAUUAUGGGAGAUGUUUUACUCUUCGUGUGAAACUUCUGCAAUUUAAGUUGCUUUUUCAUGUGUUAAUUUGUGUGAUUCAAUCAACACCUCCAUCUCCACCUCUACUAUCUUCUCACCAUCCAUUUCAAGUUGUAGGCUUUGAAAUCACUUGAUUUAUAAGAUUGUGAGAUUAAAUUUUAUAUCAACAAAUGCCACAUCACCUUUUGACAGACCUAUAUUAGUGCUCCAACACCAUCUAGCUACUUUACACAUAUUGAUCAUACAACAGGAUUAUCAAACAAGUAUGAUUGUGCUUCUACUAAUGCUUUCCUAGAUUCAGAUUUGAUAAUAAGAUGUCAUAAGUUAUAAGUAAGAAAUGGAUAUUCUACCCAUUUCUGGUUUGAUCAAUGGUCUCCAUCAGGCAAACUGAUGGACAUCAUAGGAGCAUAGGGAGUUAUUGACAAGGGGAUUCCAGCACACACAACUUUGGGGCAUGUUCUCGAUAUUCUGAUAAAAACACUUUUGCAAGUCAAUAAGAUCAAUUAAUCUCUUGGUGAUAUUUUAGCAUAAGAGGAACAAUCCAAAUGGGAUAAGGUUCAAUCAGUAAGAAUUUGUAUAAUACUUCUUAAUCCUAGCAAGCAAGACGUUUUGGUUUUUCAACUAAUGUCUAAGUGAUUUAAAUUAAAUACAAAUAAAUAAGGAAACUAAACAAAGCAAUUAACUAAGCAAGAUUAACAAUAAUAAAAAGAUGAAUCAUUGGGUGAGAUCAUUCACUUUGCUAAACUCUAGAUAUGAUCUAUGAUGCUAAAACAAUCAAUUACUUGCAUAAUCUAGAUCAUUAAUUUAGAGUAAUUCACACUCAUGAAACUAAUAUUUUUGCUAAUUACUUAAUCAAGAACAAACGAUCAUUUGUGAAAAAGCAAUUAUCAAAAAUUAAUAACAGAUCAAAUGACUAAAUAAACACCUUAUACAAUCAUUCUCAUGAGUUAAGCAUGCAAAUCCUUUAUCUAAAUUCAUUGGAGAAAUUCAUCAAACACCUUAUGGGUUGUGAAAUUUCCUAAAAGACUAAGAUUUAUCUAUCUCAAGCAAAUCUGACAUAAAGUCACUUAGAUAAAUAAGAAAACAAGAAUCUAAAACCUAGAAAACAUAGAUCAACCCUGAAAUCACCUUAAUCUAUCUCACACAUGGAUUCAAAAGAUAAACUACUCACUAAUCAUGUUUAACUAAACAAAUCUGAUGAAAGAUAUGUUAAGUAUCAUGAUUAUUAAUGAUUAAGAAAAGAUAAAAAGAAGAUAGAUUAGAGUAAAUUAAAUAAGAUUCAAACUUGCACUGAACUCAAUAAAAGAUCUGUUUACAAAUUUUAGAUACCAAAAAAAAAAAAAAUUUACAAAGGGAAGAGAUGUGUGCUCUAUAACUAGGCCUAGGGUAUUUAUAGGUGGUGGUCCACGUUCAGGUCUUGGGCUCCAUACCGGUCACAUUCUGACUGGUAUGAGUGUUCUCUUUGGGUGUCUUGGUGAUGUGGUCGUGUGUUGAGGGUUGUCAAGUUUUACCCUAAAUGAAAUCAAUAGCCGCAAGUGCACAGCUGAUCGAUUGUAGUACUUAGGGAUCGAAUCCACAGGGAAGGAUGAUCUUUCCUGCAAAAGCCUACGAAAGAAAUAUGAAGUAAGGAAGUCUAUAACCAAACGGUUUUGUGGGGGUUUUGGUGGUGUGUUUAAAACGUAAAAAUGAAAUUUAAAAAGAAACAACAGGAAUUAAAAUGACCUAAUAACUAAACUUAAUGAAAACGGGUAAAAACGGGAAAAACGGCAAACCUAAUUGCUUAAAUGAAAAUCGAUUGAAAGGGAAUGAAAAUAGUAAACUAAAGCUUGAAAUAAAAUGGUGUGGAUCUAUAAGAAAAGAGGCGCUGGGGUUCAGGGAAGUUUUCUCAGGUGUACGAACGAUUCAAAACAUUGCUAGAGAGUAAAUUUGAUAAGAUCUUAGCUUAAACUUUUCGAACUGGAGUCACGGACGUAUGAAUACGCCACUGUCGUGAUCAUAGACAACUAUCUCUCUCAACCCUGACCAGUAGGUUUCCACUCUGGUCCUGGAAAAGAAGAGAUGCAUUAUGUUUAAGACUCGUCAGCAUUCACAAAUCUCUCAUAGGUAGGUUUCCACUCCUAUGUUUGUUUUGCUCUCCCAAACUAGAUCUGACACCGGAUGAACACUUUCGUGUCACCAAUCAUCUGGAUCAGAUUGUAGUUCAUGACGCAACUCUCAUGCAGUAAAAACGAAUUCAGAAGAAAAAGUUCUAAGAUUCGGCUCAAAAGCUCAUGGAAUCCUCACCGAACAUAUAAAUCCCCAUCGAAAAUCCCUUAGUCCCAACAAUAAAACUACUCAGACAUGAUGAACGAAAUCAAAAACAUACAGUAAAACCUCUAUAAAUUAAUAAUGUCGGGACCAUAAUAUUUUAUUAGUGUAUCGUGAUAUUAAUUUAUCUAUAAAUUAAUAAUUAUUAAUUUAUUGUAUAAAUUAGAUAAUGUUUGUGUACUUAAUUAAUGUACAUUUUUAAUUCCUUAAUUUUUUAUACUAAUAUUCCAUAUUUUUAUGUUAAUAUAUGAAGCAGUUUUCUUCAAUUUAUGUUAGUAUUCCAUUUUUUUAUUUCUUAAAUUUUUCCUUGACAUUCAUGAACUUGAGGUUUUGAUUAAUUAUCUCGGUUAUCGGAACAAAAUGGAUGUUAAUACCAUACUCGACUAUCCUGCUGAAAACGAUACAUGCUCAGAAGUUCAGAGUUUAGAAGAGAUUGUGGCUACUGUCCUUAAUGUUGAUGAUGAAGUUGAAGAUGAUGUUAUGGAAUCUUGGUCAAGAAAUUAAUGUGACUUGUGAAGUACAGCAAUUAUUAGGAAACAAUCGAGUUAGAGCUGUAGCUAUGAGUGCGACAGAGGGUUUAAAGAGAGGAAUGGACGUGGUUGAUAUGGGAAAUCCUCUAAGUGUUCCAGUCGGCGGAGCGACUCUAGGACGAAUUUUCAACGUGCUUGGGGAACCUGUUGAUAAUUUAGGGCCUGUCGAUACUCGCACAACAUCUCCUAUCCAUAAAUCCGCGCCUGCUUUUAUCCAAUUAGAUACAAAAUUAUCUAUUUAGAGCAGCCGGACGGACUAUUCUAGUGAGUCUAGUGACUACUAGAGUAGAGUUGAGUCAAAAGGUAUGGUAUAGCAGCCUUUCCGAGCGAGCCUCUGGGAUCUCCUGUAAACCCCCAUGAUGUGGUAAAGGGAGGAUAUUAGGGGAAGCAGUGAGUGGAGAUUCCCCUGCGGAGAGCCGGAUGAGGGGAGACCUUCACGUCCGGUC